rnacentral:rRNA from 1 species
AGUGAACGCUGGCGGUAGGCCUAACACAUGCCAGUCGAACGGCAGCACAGUAAGAGCUUGCUCUUACGGGUGGCGAGUGGCGGACGGGUGAGGAAUACAUCGGAAUCUACUUUUUCGUGGGGGAUAACGUAGGGAAACUUACGCUAAUACCGCAUACGACCUACGGGUGAAAGCAGGGGAUCUUCGGACCUUGCGCGAUUGAAUGAGCCGAUGUCGGAUUAGCUAGUUGGCGGGGUAAAGGCCCACCAAGGCGACGAUCCGUAGCUGGUCUGAGAGGAUGAUCAGCCAAACUGGAACUGAGACGCGGUCCAGACUCCUACGGGAGGCAGCAGUGGGGAAUAUUGGACAAUGGGCGCAAGCCUGAUCCAGCCAUACCGCGUGGGUGAAGAAGGCCUUCGGGUUGUAAAGCCCUUUUGUUGGGAAAGAAAAGCAGCAGGUUAAUACCCCGCUGUUCUGACGGUACCCAAAGAAUAAGCACCGGCUAACUUCGUG